rnacentral:rRNA from 1 species
UACGGAGGGUGCAAACGUUGCUCGGAAUCAUUGGGCGUAAAGCGCACGUAGGCGGCCUGAUAAGUCGGGUGUGAAAGCCCUGGGCUCAACCCAGGAAGUGCACUCGAAACUGUCAGGCUUGAAUAUGGAAGAGGGUCGCGGAAUUCCCGGUGUAGAGGUGAAAUUCGUAGAUAUCGAGAGGAACACCGGUGGCGAAGGCGGCCUUCUGGACAGUGACUGACGCUGAGACGCGAAAGCGUGGGGAGCAAACAGG